CCCCACCAAGCUAAGUCGAGUUGUCUGAUCCUGCAAUCGCCAUUUGUCAGACCCAAAAAUGGCCCCGAGCGAUGAAUACUCUUUCGUCGUUAAUAUAAUCACGAACGACCCAUCCCCUUCAACCUCUGUCUCAUCGCCUCGUUGUUAUCAAUUUAUGUGUUCAUCGAUCGGGAAGAUAUUUCGACAAAACUGAUCAGAUAGAUCGGAAGUCUCAUCUGGGUUUUGCUCUUGUGUGGUGGGGUUUGCAAUUUCAGGU